rnacentral:rRNA from 1 species
AUUGAACGCUGGCGGCAUGCCUUACACAUGCAAGUCGAACGGUAACAGGUCUUCGGAUGCUGACGAGUGGCGAACGGGUGAGUAAUACAUCGGAACGUGCCCGAUCGUGGGGGAUAACGAAGCGAAAGCUUUGCUAAUACCGCAUACGAUCUACGGAUGAAAGUAGGGGACCGCAAGGCCUUGCGCGAACGGAGCGGCCGAUGGCAGAUUAGGUAGUUGGUGGGAUAAAAGCUUACCAAGCCGACGAUCUGUAGCUGGUCUGAGAGGACGACCAGCCACACUGGGACUGAGACACGGCCCAGACUCCUACGGGAGGCAGCAGUGGGGAAUUUUGGACAAUGGGCGAAAGCCUGAUCCAGCCAUGCCGCGUGCAGGAUGAAGGCCUUCGGGUUGUAAACUGCUUUUGUACGGAACGAAAAGACUCUGGUUAAUACCUGGGGUCCAUGACGGUACCGUAAGAAUAAGCACCGGCUAACUACGUG